GCAAGUCGAACGGCAGCACGGGUGCUGCACCUGGUGGCGAGUGGCGGACGGGUGAGUAAUGCAUCGGAACGUAUCCUUAAGCGGGGGAUAACGCAUCGAAAGAUGUGCUAAUACCGCAUAAUCUCUGAGGAGAAAAGCAGGGGACCGUAAGACCUUGCACUUUUGGAGCAGCCGAUGUCUGAUUAGCUAGUUGGUGGGGUAAUGGCCUACCAAAGCUUCGAUCAGUAGCUGGUCUGAGAGGACGGUC
rnacentral:rRNA from 1 species